rnacentral:rRNA from 1 species
UACGUAGGGGGCAAGCGUUGUCCGGAAUUAUUGGGCGUAAAGAGCGCGUAGGCGGUCCGAUAAGUCGGCUGUGAAAGUCCAGGGCUCAACCCUGGAAAGCCGGCCGAUACUGUCGGACUAGAGUCCGGAAGAGGCAAGUGGAAUUCCCGGUGUAGAGGUGAAAUUCGUAGAUAUCGGGAGGAACACCGGUGGCGAAGGCGGCGACCUGGGUAGAUACUGACGCUGAGGCGCGAAAGCGUGGGGAGCAAACAGG